GACGAACGCUGGCGGCGUGCUUAACACAUGCAAGUCGAACGGAAAGGCCCUGCUUGCAGGGUACUCGAGUGGCGAACGGGUGAGUAACACGUGGGUGAUCUGCCCUGCACUUCGGGAUGAGCCUGGGAAGCUGGGUCUAAUACCGGAUAGGAGCCAUUUUUAGUGUGAUGGUUGGAAAGUUUUUUCGGUGUAGGAUGAGCUCGCGGCCUAUCAGCUUGUUGGUGGGGUAAUGGCCUACCAAGGCGGCGACGGGUAGCCGGCCUGAGAGGGUGGACGGCCACAUUGGGACUGAGAUACGGCCCAGACUCCUACGGGAGGCAGCAGUGGGGAAUAUUGCACAAUGGGCGCAAGCCUGAUGCAGCGACGCCGCGUGGGGGAUGACGGCCUUCGGGUUGUAAACUCCUUUCGCUAGGGACGAAGCUUUUUGUGACGGUACCUAGAUAAGAAGCACCGGCUAACUACGUG
rnacentral:rRNA from 1 species